CCUUCCGGUGAGCUGAGGCUUAAACGGAUGCGGUAAAGCGUGCUAAGGUAGCUAAAUUACGGCCUAAUAAUUGUAGGUCCUGUGAAUGGUUUGACGAGUUUUUAACUGUCUCUAGUUUUUUUAGUGAACUUGAAUUGUAUGUGCAAAUGCAUACAUAGGGUAGAAAGACGAGAAGACCCCGUGAAGUUAGAAAUUUAGUAUAUCUUCUAGGCAUGAGGGUGUCUUAUGGUGUAUGCAGUUUUAGCUGGGGCAGCCAAAGAGCAAGGUUAGACUCUUUUAUUAUAUUUUCUGAUGAGAUACGAUCCAUAGAUUAAAUUGUAUGAAUAGCAGAAUAAGUUACUCCGGGGAUAACAGCGUAAUCUAUCUUGAUAGUCCUUAUAGAUGGGUAGGUUUGCGACCUCGAUGUUGGCUCUGGGUAUCCUAAGGCUUGUAGGCGGUCUUAAGGGUAGGUUCGUUCGCCCAUUAAAACCCAACGUGAUCUGU
rnacentral:rRNA from 1 species